rnacentral:rRNA from 1 species
UAGAGUUUGAUCAUGGCUCAGGAUGAACGCUAGCGGCAGGCCUAAUACAUGCAAGUCGAACGAUACCAGAGAGCUUGCUUUCUGGGAAAGUGGCGCACGGGUGCGUAACGCGUAUGCAACCUACCUUAAUCAGGGGGAUAGCCUCUCGAAAGAGAGAUUAACACCGCAUAAAAUCMCACUUCGGCAUCGAAGAAUGAUCAAAUAUUUAUAGGAUUAAGAUGGGCAUGCGUGACAUUAGCUAGUUGGUGAGGUAACGGCUCACCAAGGCUACGAUGUCUAGGGGAUCUGAGAGGAUGACCCCCCACACUGGUACUGAGACACGGACCAGACUCCUACGGGAGGCAGCAGUAAGGAAUAUUGGUYMAWKGRRGSMAAYUYUGAACCAGCCAUGCCGCGUGCAGGAAGACGGCCCUAUGGGUUGUAAACUGCUUUUAUACGGGAAUAAACCUCUCUACGUGUAGAGAGUUGAAUGUACUGUAAGAAUAAGAUCGGCUAACUCCGUGCCAGCCGCCGCGGUAAUAC